GAUGAACGCUGGCGGCGUGCCUAAUACAUGCAAGUCGAGCGAACGGACGAGAAGCUUGCUUCUCUGAUGUUAUCGGCGGACGGGUGAGUAACACGUGGAUAACCUACCUAUAAGACUGGGAUAACUUCGGGAAACCGGAGCUAAUACCGGAUAAUAUUUUGAGCCGCAUGGUUCAAAAGUGAAAGACGGUCUUGCUGUCACUUAUAGAUGGAUCCGCGCUGCAUUAGCUAGUUGGUAAGGUAACGGCUUACCAAGGCAACGAUGCAUAGCCGACCUGAGAGGGUGAUCGGCCACACUGGAACUGAGACACGGUCCAGACUCCUACGGGAGGCAGCAGUAGGGAAUCUUCCGCAAUGGGCGAAAGCCUGACGGAGCAACGCCGCGUGAGUGAUGAAGGUCUUCGGAUCGUAAAACUCUGUUAUUAGGGAAGAACAUAUGUGUAAGUAACUGUGCACAUCUUGACGGUACCUAAUCAGAAAGCCACGGCUAACUACGUG
rnacentral:rRNA from 1 species